GCUUGUUUUUAUAUAGGCAACACUGCAUCUACGCCGGGCUUCACUACUCCCGUAAGCGCCUUGGCCGUUCCACAAACUCCAUCCUACUUCUCCAAUUUUGUUAAUUGCAUACUCCACUUGAUCAAAGAAUUAAUAGGGUCUCAAUACUGCAAUUUCCCUCCUCAAAAAUAAAAGUAAAAACAAAAUAAAUAAAACAAAAAAGAAGCUAAAAACCUCUAAUAAACAUAUUCUCAAAUCUUUUUUCCUAUACUAUUAAGCAAGUAAUUCAAUUUAUAGAGAAAAGUUAGCAAACUAUAAGCC
rnacentral:lncRNA from 1 species